AUUGAACGCUGGCGGCAGGCCUAACACAUGCAAGUCGAACGGAGCGGCGGACGGGUGAGUAAUGCCUAGGAAUCUGCCUGGUAGUGGGGGAUAACGUCCGGAAACGGGCGCUAAUAACGCAUACUCUCAGAUGAGCUUAGGUCGGAUUCGCUAGUUGGUGGGGUAAAGGCCUACCAAGGCGACGAUCCGUACCUGGUCUGAGAGGAUGAUCAGUCACACUGGAACUGAGAACCGGUCCAGACUCCAACGGGGGGCAGAGGUGGGGAAUAUUGGACAAUGGGGGAAAGCCUGAUCCAGCCAUGCCGCGUGUGUGAGAAAGGUCUUCGGUUUGUAAAGCACUUUAAGUUGGGAGGCGUUACCGACAGAAUAAGCACCGGCUAACUUCGUGCCAGCAGCCGCGGUAAUAC
rnacentral:rRNA from 1 species